CACACUGAAGUCUCACAUACAGCACAUAUGGAAGGCUCCUCUACAUACACACACACUAAACCGCUGCCUGACACAUGCAGACCAACUGCAUGGACCAUGAUCGUAUUAGUGUUACCCAAAUUGUCUAAUGGUCUUCAUAUUUUUUGCAAUUAAGAGUCCAGAGGUGCACUGCUGUACAUUUGACCUUCUAACCCAUUGCUUCUCCAACUUUAAUGACUCUCGCAAGUUUUCUACCACCUUUCAUUCAACCCCAGCCAAUGGCUUCUAUUGGAAAUAAGUCCAGGAGAUGACUUCCUUCUGCUUCCCUUACUUCUAUUUUUAUUUCCUUGAAGUUUGAAUGCACACCUUCUCAGCUGGGUAACUGAAUAGACGAAGGCAGAAGAAUCAAUGCUGCUCCCAUGGCUGGAUUAUUAGCAUCAUUAAGUUUCCUCUGCACGGUUCUUUUCUUUGCUCUUGUUGAAGCUUUGAUCAUUCGUGCUGGAGAUUCAGAUGGACGUGUGCAGAGCAGAUUUUGAAUCUAUGUGUUGAGGGGUUGUCGUUUUCUUUCUCUUUUUUCUUGUCACAUGCGUAAGCACCAUUUCUUCAUCUCUAUCAACUUGACACGAAGCAUUGCAGAUGAUCCACAGGUUAUAGUUAAUACCUUGCUCUACGAUACUUGUAUGCUCGUAAGAGAACCCUUCGGUUAGCAAACGCUUCAUUAAUCACAAUAAUUACCAACUAAUCUUCUCUGUCAAACCCUUUAGGUGCCAUGCAGUCCUUCAUAUCUCCGGUGACCAAGGCUAUUCUUGUAGCUUUGUUCAUUUUUGCCAUUCUGUUGAUUCUCUAUGUGAUCUUGUGGUAUAUUUGUCGAGAUGUGGAUUGUGAUCAUGGGAUUUGAAUUAGAAUAUUGGGCAAUGGAAUAGGAAACAGAGUUGGCUACAGGAGGAAUAAAAACAAUCAAUCAUUAGCCACUGCCAUCUAUGAAUAGCCAAGACCUGAAACUGACCUUCAGAACUCAGGGUGACCAGGUAAUCUGGAUCCUGAAUAUCACCAAAUGAAUCUUAAAUAUCUGAGGCUCAUUUCAUGAAAAGGGUGUACAGUGCUGCUUUUUGGGAAAAUGGCAGGCAUUUAAUGCAAUCACAGAGCAGACCUCCAGGGAGGCAGAGUUUGUUUUCCUGGGAUACUGAAAUAAAGACUAUCUACAAAAUGAUGAAACUGUGGAAAUAUGGACACCAUACUGUACGAAUAACUAGUCUUACACCGGAGACAUCAUGGGGCAUGAUGAUUCUUUCUUGUUCGUUGUUACAGUUGUUAAAUGUUUUUGAUUUUUUUGUCUGUAUGUUUAAUGUAUCUAACUUUUUUUAGUAAGUAAAAGUCAGAUAUUCUGGCUCUGAUACUCCUUAGUUAAGGAAAUGAAUGCCAGGGUAACAUUCUCUAGAAGUACCUGGAAAGAGAGUUAAAAAGAUUUGUGUCUAUUGUUUUACCUUUUCCUAGGGUUCCCUUACAAUUUAUCCCUCACUUUUUGGGUAAAUUAUAACACAAGUACUAGAGUCUGAAUAUGUUGUCCAGUCAGUGGCUGUUUUGUUAUAAAUGGCAUUUGUAGGUUCAUGUUACAAUUUGACCUGACCUGAUACACGUUUUUAACAAUUCUAUUUUAAAGAUACAAUAAUUAAAAUAAUCAACAAUUAAAACAUGAUGAUAAAAAUGUGGCAUGUACAUUUUUAGAUGCAUACCAUUUAAUCCUCAGCUGGUGAGUCCCUCUGGUGACGUAUACAACGUACAGGGUUCCCAAGUUGCAGACCAUCAUUUUUAUAGACAACUAAUUAAUAGGCACUCAAUUAUAACAAUUGUAUCUAAAACAGAGGGAGAUGGCUGGUUCCGCGGGUUGAUAUUUUUAAUGAAUGCCUUCUGUCUUAUCAGUUUUGGGGCUACACUCAGUGUAAAACAACAUGUAUGUCUAAAUAUACAUGUGCAUUUUACACUGUUCAGUUAUAACCCAUAUUUUAACCUAUGUGUUUAAAGAAAAUGUUGUGUUUAGUGUCUCCUUAAAGCACCAUAUGAGCAGUAAAAAGGUAAUAAAGAGCAGAAAAUAGUUCAGAAUUAGUGGCUUGCAAAAAAUGACAAACAUCAUAGAACAUGCCCAUCUAAAAAAAAACUGUACUAGGCAUGGUGGAAAAAAUGAAUUCAUGCAAUUAUUAAAGCUAUAGAAAUACAUGCGAGCCAUUCACACAGUCAGUGUGUCAUACCAGCCAGUUGUUGAAUACACCUAAGUGAAAUACUCAUACACACUGCUUUGUGAGCUUUGGUGCAAUAUGCCAUUGUCGUGAGUUUGAUGCGGAGUAAGAUUUACUUUUUAUUGUCUGUCUUUUUUGUCCAGGUUUUCGCGUGUUUUUCUUUUUCUUUUUAAAUGUGUACAAAUAUUUUGAUCUGGUUCACUAUUGAAACAAAAUACUACAAUUACAUUUACAGUGUACAGUGUUAAUUUGGCAUCUUUGUACAUUUUUUUUAU